rnacentral:rRNA from 1 species
AGAGUUUGAUCCUGGCUCAGGAUGAACGCUAGCGGCAGGCCUAAUACAUGCAAGUCGGACGGGAUUGGAGAGCUUGCUUUCCAUGAGAGUGGCGCACGGGUGCGUAACACGUAUGUAACCUACCUUGAUCAGGGGGAUAGCCUCUCGAAAGAGAGAUUAAGACCGCAUAAAGUUGUGAUAUGGCAUCAUAUUAUAACCAAAUAUUUAUAGGAUCAAGAUGGGCAUGCGGAACAUUAGCUAGUUGGUAAGGUAACGGCUUACCAAGGCUACGAUGUUUAGGGGAUCUGAGAGGAUGACCCCCCACACUGGUACUGAGACACGGACCAGACUCCUACGGGAGGCAGCAGUAAGGAAUAUUGGUCAAUGGACGCAAGUCUGAACCAGCCAUGCCGCGUGCAGGAAGACGGCCCUACGGGUUGUAAACUGCUUUUAUACCGGAAUAAACCUUGAUACGUGUAUCAAGCUGAAUGUACGG